rnacentral:rRNA from 1 species
CCUACGGGUGGCAGCAGUAGGGAAUAUUGCACAAUGGGCGCAAGCCUGAUGCAGCGAUGCCGCGUGCGGGAUGGAGGCCUUCGGGUUGUAAACUGCUUUCGUUCAAGGGCAAGGCACGGUCUUUGGCCGUGUUGAGUGGAUUGUUCGAAUAAGCACCGGCUAACUACGUGCCAGGGGCCGCCGGCAUACGUAGGGUGCAAGCGUUAUCCGGAUUAAUUGGUCCUAAAGGGCUCGUAGGCGGUUCGUCGCGUCCGGUGUGAAAGCCCAGCGCUUAACGGUGGAACCGCGCCGGGUAAUGGCGGGCUUGAGUGCUGUAGGGGGGACUAGAAUUCCCGGUGUAGCGGUGGAAUGUGUAGAUAUCGGGAGGAACACCAAUGGCGAAGGCAGGUCUCUGGGCCGUUACUGACGCUGAGGAGCGAAAGCGUGGGGAGCGAACAGGAUUAGAUACCCUAGUAGUC